GACGAACGCUGGCGGCGUGCUUAACACAUGCCAGUCGAACGGAAAGGCCCUGCUUUUGUGGGGUGCUCGAGUGGCGAACGGGUGAGUAACACGUGAGUAACCUGCCCUUGACUUUGGGAUAACUUCAGGAAACUGGGGCUAAUACCGGAUAGGAGCUCCUGCUGCAUGGUGGGGGUUGGAAAGUUUCGGCGGUUGGGGAUGUACUCGCGGCUUAUCAGCUUGUUGGUGGGGUAGUGGCUUACCAAGGCUUUGACGGGUAGCCGGCCUGAGAGGGUGACCGGCCACAUUGGGACUGAGAUACGGCCCAGAAUCCUACGGGAGGCAGCAGUGGGGAAUAUUGCACAAUGGGCGGAAGCCUGAUGCAGCAACGCCGCGUGCGGGAUGACGGCCUUCGGGUUGUAAAACGCUUUCGCCUGUGACGAAGCGUGAGUGACGGUAAUGGGUAAAGAAGCACCGGCUAACUACGUG
rnacentral:rRNA from 1 species